UACGAAGGGGGCUAGCGUUGCUCGGAAUCACUGGGCGUAAAGCGUGCGCAGGCGGCUUUGCAAGACAGAUGUGAAAUCCCCGGGCUCAACCUGGGAACUGCAUUUGUGACUGCAUGGCUAGAGUACGGUAGAGGGGGAUGGAAUUCCGCGUGUAGCAGAGAAAUGCGUAGAUAUGCGGAGGAACACCGAUGGCGAAGGCAAUCCCCUGGACCUGUACUGACGCUCAUGCACGAAAGCGUGGGGAGCAAACAGG
rnacentral:rRNA from 1 species